GAAAUAUUAAGGAAAGUGAAAGCUGCUAACUUCAUCACUAUAACGGUUAAACUCCGUUUAUAUUUCU
rnacentral:tRNA from 1 species